rnacentral:rRNA from 1 species
GAUGAACGCUGGCGGCGUGCCUAAUACAUGCAAGUCGAGCGAACAGACGAUGAGCUUGCUCCUCUGACGUUAGCGCCGGACGGGUGAGCAACACGUGGAUAACCUACCUAUACUACCGGGACAACUUCGGGCAACCGGAGCUAGCACCGGAUAAUAUAUUGAACCGCCGGGUCCAAUAGUAAAAGUCGGUUUUGCUGUCACUUAUAGACGGAUCGUUGCCUCAUUAGCUAGUUGGUAAGGUACCGGCUUACCAAGGCAACGAUGCGUAGCCGACCUGAGAGGGUGAUCGGCCGCACUGGAACUGAGAAACGGUCCAGACGCCUACGGGAGGCAGCAGUAGGGAAUCUUCCGCAAUGGGCGAAAGCCUGACGGAGCAACGCAGCGUGAGUGAGGAAGGUCUUCGGAUCGUAAGACUCUGUUAUUAGGGAGGAACAAAUGUGUAAGUAACUAUGCACGUCUUGACGGUACCUAAUCAGAAAGCCACGGCUAACUACGUG